rnacentral:rRNA from 1 species
UACGAAGGGGGCUAGCGUUGUUCGGAAUUACUGGGCGUAAAGCGCGCGCAGGCGGUCUUCCAAGUCAGUGGUGAAAGCCCCGGAGCUCAACUCCGGAACUGCCAUUGAAACUGUUGGACUUGAGUACGAGAGAGGUGAGUGGAAUUCCCAGUGUAGAGGUGAAAUUCGUAGAUAUUGGGAAGAACACCGGUGGCGAAGGCGGCUCACUGGCUCGUAACUGACGCUCAGGCGCGACAGCGUGGGGAUCAAACAGG